CCAUUUCAAAAGUACACUAUAUAAGAUUCCAAAAUAUAACCCAACAGAUGGCAGCCUACAAAAUAACCCUGCAGGUCGUCAUCCAUGUAUAUCAAACUUUGGAAUCUUAUAGGAGCUCCACAGCUAAUCAUGCUCUCUAUGUAGUUCCAUGCUCACCUACAAUACAAGAACUACAUAAGCCAAUGAUUAGUAAGCAAAAUCAUGCAUGUCCUGAAUAUGAGUAAUAACGACAUAUGACACCAUGCCAUUUACUUUAAAUAUCACGAUAAAAAAUAUCAUAUUUCAAUAUUCAUCAAAGUCGACUAGAAAUUAUUUCACUUGAAAUCUUUCAUUUCAUUGGGCCAUUGACCCACCUACUAUGCAUCGAAUAGAGCUCUGCAUAAUAUUAAUAUCAAUAAUCAAAUGGCCAAUAUGAAAUCGACACCGACGAGUGGACCAUCCUCUCGUGACCACUAGAGGCCCAUCCCCUGACUACCCCUAUGAUCACCCAAGAAGUCUCUCACCCGACAGCGUCAAUAAUCAUAAUAUUACAAGGGCACAGUGCCCUCCCGUGAUCACCAAAGGCCCAUCCCCUAUCUACCUUUGCAAUCAUCUAGGAAGUAACACCCGCAAUGCCAAACAUAUCACAUAAGUAUGCCUCACAUGCCUCGGUGCCCUAGUAGUAGUCAAUAAAACAUUUAUAAUGAAACUCACUUUGAAAUCAUGUUUUGUAUGUAGGAUUUUCAACCAUGUCACAUGUCGUGCAUGCAUAUGAAAAUGCUCAUAAAUGACGUAUUUAAUGAAAAUCGAUGUCAAUAGGUUACGCAAUCUCAUACUCAAUGAUCGUAACUACCAUAUAAUGUGCUAUAAGCCUCUUAUCAAAGUUAUGUAGAUAUUUCAACAUUACUAUGUCACAUAUACUACGUUCUUGCAUCGUAGUUGCAAAUGGAUUUUCACUUACUUUUCACCUUUGUAUGUGCAAGCUUCUAUAGAGAUUAGAUCAAUAUCCUUUUUCACUUGAAGUCGGAAAAUCACCUGUAUUACCAUUUAAUAUUAAAGAGAAUCCUCAAUUUAAUAACCUUAACGCACAAAAUCCCAAAAUACAUCCAUUCUCACCAAAAUAAUUUAGACGGAAUCAUCAUUUCAAGUUACCGAUGAUAUUACAAACUUAUCCCAUAAAUCUCGCUAUUUCUCAAGUCAAAUUAUGAACAUCAACAUCAUCCAAUUGUUGUUGACAACCUAGUACCCUUAGAAUCUAUUUUCUAGGCCCAAGAGAUGAUUAAUGUACAUGUAAAGGCUGAAACCAUAUUAAACACAAAAUUGGACAGAAUCUGUUUUCAGAUUUCCCUUACCGUCCAAUUAUUUUUCCAAUCCCUUUUCACCCCCUUAUCUAUAUCCAAUGACUCCGAAAUUUUUACCAAAUUUCUAUAACAUGCAUAUGAAGGUAAUCAUGCUCUAAAGUCGUGACAAGUAAAGUGUUCUCAGCCUCAAAAUAUUCCAUUUCCACAACACUAAAAUCAGACAGUUUUCGGUUUCUAUUUUAUUAGCAUGUUACCAAUCAGAUUUCAAGCUAUUAGAAGGACACUUAUAUCCUUAUAACUAUCAUGUAAAAACAUUCAUUUACAUAGAUACAAGUUAAAUCUUAAGUAUUAUCCAAAAUCAAAGUUUAAACCAUCCAAAUUCAUCAAUCAACACAUCUCUAUUUCUGUUGGUUUCUUUCAGGUUCUUGUACUUGAUUACCCCUUUUUUUGCCAUCAUAAAAUCAUCAACAACCUUUCUAAUUAACCUCAAGUAAUUUUAGAGUUUUAUCAUACUAUAAAACACCCAAAAGGACUAAAGAAAAACUUCAAAAUCGUGACUUUAACUAACCUUUACAAACUGCAAUCCCAGCUUCUUACUUUUCUAUCUCUCUUUGCUUCCUUUGCUCUCCCUUUCACUUGGGGAUAUAUUUGGAGGUUUAAAUGUCUUAUCCAAGAGAUGUAUAAGUAGCCUCAAGGGUUGGAG
rnacentral:lncRNA from 1 species